rnacentral:rRNA from 1 species
UGGGGAAUAUUGCACAAUGGAGGGAACUCUGAUGCAGCGACGCCGCGUGUGUGAUGAAGGAAUUCGUUUCGUAAAACUCUGUUCUAUGGGAAGAAAAGGACUGUACCAUAGGAGAAAGCUUCGGCUAAAUACGUGCCAGCAGCCGCGGUAAUACGUAUGGAGCGAGCGUUGUCCGGAAUUAUUGGGCGUAAAGGGUGCGCAGGCGGCUUUACAAGUUGGAUGUGAAAUAUUGUGGCUCAACCACAAACGUGCAUCCAAAACUGCAAAGCUUGAGUUAAGGAGAGAUGAGGGGAGUUCCUGGUGUAGCGGUGGAAUGCGUCGAUAUCAGGAGGAAUACCGGUGGCGAAGGCGACUUACUGGACUUAAACUGACGCUCAGGCACAAAAGCGUGGGGAGCAAACAGG